GACUACACGGGUAUCUAAGCCUGUUUGCUACCCACGCUUUCGCUCCUCAGCGUCAGUUUCGGCCCAGAGUGGCGCCUUCGCCACCGGUGUUCCUCCUAAUAUCUGCGCAUUUCACCGCUACACUAGGAAUUCCCCACUCCCCUACCGAACUCUAGUCACGGCAGUAUCGAGUGCACGCUUUGGGUUGAGCCCAAAGUUUUCACACCCGACUUACCGAACCGCCUACGAGCUCUUUACGCCCAAUAAAUCCGGACAACGCUUGGUGCCUACGUGUCACCGCGGCUGCUGGCACGUAGUUGGCCGCACCUUCUUCUGAAAGUACCGUCAGUUUCGUUCCUGCUGAAAGCGGUUUACAACCCGAAGGCCUUCUUCCCGCACGCGGCGUUGCUGCGUCAGGCUUUCGCCCAUUGCGCAAGAUUCCCCACUGCAGCCUCCCGUAGG
rnacentral:rRNA from 1 species